rnacentral:rRNA from 1 species
GCCAGAGGGUGCAAACGUUGUUCGGAAUUACUGGGCGUAAAGCGAGUGUAGGCGGUUUCCUAAGUCGGAUGUGAAAGCCCCGGGCUCAACCCGGGAAGUGCACUCGAAACUGGGAGGCUAGAGUAUCGGAGAGGUUGGUGGAAUUCUCGGUGUAGAGGUGAAAUUCGUAGAUAUCGAGAGGAACACCGGUGGCGAAGGCGGCCAACUGGACGAAUACUGACGCUGAGACUCGAAAGCGUGGGGAGCAAACAGG